rnacentral:rRNA from 1 species
GACGAACGCUGGCGGCGUGCUUAACACAUGCAAGUCGAACGGAAAGGCCCUGCUUUUGUGGGGUGCUCGAGUGGCGAACGGGUGAGUAACACGUGAGUAACCUGCCCUUGACUUUGGGAUAACUUCAGGAAACUGGGGCUAAUACCGGAUAGGAGCUCCUGCUGCAUGGUGGGGGUUGGAAAGUUUCGGUGGUUGGGGAUGGACUCGCGGCUUAUCAGCUUGUUGGUGGGGUAGUGGCUUACCAAGGCUUUGACGGGUAGCCGGCCUGAGAGGGUGACCGGCCACAUUGGGACUGAGAUACGGCCCAGACUCCUACGGGAGGCAGCAGUGGGGAAUAUUGCACAAUGGGCGGAAGCCUGAUGCAGCAACGCCGCGUGCGGGAUGACGGCCUUCGGUUUGUAAACCGAUUUCGCCUGUGACGAAGCGUGAGUGACGGUAAUGGGUAAAGAAGCACCGGCUAACUACGUG